AGCAAAAUAUGUAUUACUGAAGGCUUUUACAAUGUAGGAAGAUAGAUAUGCAUUAAUGAUAACUGCGGACUGUUACUUGAGAGGUGCCUUAGUUGAAUCCCAUCACUUCAUUUUAAAUAUGAGAACAGCGGGGUUUAGAAACUGGAUUGAAAAUUAAGCACCAGGUCCUGCCUCUGGCACAGCUUGCAAUCUGUGAAUUGAGUGUGUGCAGAAGACUCUGCGUAGCAGAUGAGUGAAGUGUGGUCAGUCUGACACACAGGUCUUCUCUAGAGAUGCAUGGAGAGCGUGACGUGAAAUCAUCUGUGUAGCAGAAAUGCUGAAUCGUGGCCUGAAGCAGUGAUUGAGCACCUGGUUGGCAGGACCAACCCAGGGAUGCUCAGGUGUAUGCAAUGCACCUGAGUGAUUGGAAGAGGUGCAGCCAGGAUCCACCCCUUCCCCAACCUCAUUUAAGGGUUGGCAGUGGAGAUGAGGGUAUCUUACUGGAGAUUUCUAUGUGCUUGAGGUCUUUUGAAGUUGAAAAUAUGAAAGUUACGGAAGCUCACAGAAAUAAUAGGAAUCACAUAACUCUCAUUUAAAAAGAAAUUAAAAAUUGAGGGUUGGCUCUGAGUGCUGUGCACGGUGGGCAGCAUGUUUGGAGCUCAGCUGUAGUUUGAGGAUGCCCAUGGAGGGUACGUCAAAGGUGUCUGCACAUAGUCUUCCUUAGGCUAUAAUUUCAAGACCUGCAUUUCACAAAGCCCUUUCCCGGUGUCCUGGAAGUACAAAGAUGCUACAUUUGUUUAGCCCAUUCCAUAUUGCAGAAACAGUGCUUGUAGCCUGCGUUCAUCUGACCUGUGCUGAUAUCUGGAAGAACAGUUGGGGAGUAGUAAAAGGGGAGCCACGAGUGCCUGAAAUCAGGGCACCUGAGGACAAUUUCACUCCAGAAGCAGAAAUGAUCAAUAAAACUUGUAUGUUAAAUAGCUUCCUACCAAGUCUCUUCCUCGAUAAUUUAAAGAGCUUUCCCAGGAGAAACAGAAAAUUUCAACAGAAGGUAAAUUUCCUGCAGCAGAGUAAAUUUCUGUAACAAUCAAGUUCUUCCUCUUCUUUUGGACAUUCAUAUGUUCAGUACAAAAAACAAUUUAUAGUUUAUUAAAUUUUCCCAGUGCUACUGUGAGCUACUCAUCCACUCUCUGGAAGAAUUUUUUCCCCAGUGAUCAGCGUUCUGUGUAAUCUGCUGGAAUUAUAUCUGGAUUCCAUUUUGUGCCAUUAUAAUAUUCAGUUACUGCAUUAUCUUUAAUGAACGCACACUCAACGCCUUACUCAUAGUGUGGGGUAUAGUUUUACAACAAGAUUAUAUUUAUUACUCUGGAAAACUAUUUGGGAAAACAAACCCAACACACAGCCUAACUUAAGAGAAUGUGUUCAUUUUCAUAUGUUAAUUCUACGAGCUUCCUCUUAAGGAAUUUACAAGUAUGAAAAUGGAGUCUGCUCAUUGCACCAAAGUUUGCCUAAAGGCUGGGAAGCAGCUGAAUUACUGGGUGGUAUUAAUAUCUUGUUUUUACUGUGAAACAGAUGUUCAUUGCCAGAUCUUUUUCCAGUGUCUUAGUGUGUUAUAGCAUGUUGCCUAGAUCAUCAUCAUGCCAAACCCCAAGGGGAAGUUGUGGCUCGCUGGCAGCAACAGUCCUCCUGCCCCAUCUUUGCCUCUGUGAACCUUGGUAAAUAUCACUUGUUGCCUGAGUCUGACUGCUCCAUGAGGAACUGCUGUUUGUAUGCCGGCUGUUCUUGCACUAGAAGAUAUAGUAUAUGGUAGCUGUAAUAAUAGUUGUCAUCUAGGAAUGAAUCCCUGAUGGAAAUUUAGCCUGAUCUUGCUGCCCUGUUCUUUUGUUUCCCAUGCAAGCAUCAGCGCUGCUGAAACUCUGUAGAACAUGGCUGCAGCCCACAGCCCCUCUUCCUCCUGUGCUCAUUGUUGCCUUCCCACAGUUGAGCUCAGUAUGGGUUCAUCAGUCUGAGUUGCUUCAGAAAAACUCAGCUGUGCCUCUUAAAAUCAAGCCAUAAAAUUGAGGCCAUACCAAAUGCUGUACCUUUCAUGUAUGAAUGAAGAAGGGACUUCAUGGUCAGCUGGGCCACUAGGAGAAGUGAGAGGCUCAGCAUAUGGGGGUCAGUGUGUUAAGUAUUUUCCCCCAUUUAAAAUGACCAUGCUGGCUCAUGUUUUGAAAUGAGGGCAGGGGAGAGCUUCCCUUUCACAACCCAGAGC
rnacentral:lncRNA from 7 species